rnacentral:ncRNA from 2 species
UGGCCAUCCCCGGGGAGCCAGCGCUGGCUGAGAGGGAGGUCUCGCACCCUCCGACCCGUCGAACCUGAACCGAUUAGCAUCGGCGGAGGGAGUGGAGCGGCGCGCGCAA